rnacentral:lncRNA from 1 species
CUCCCUUGUAGAGAUUGCAUCUUGAUGGUUGAAAAUCUUCUCUUCUCUUAAGACACUCUUAGAGAACAAGAAGAUGUAGGAGGAUCUUGAUCUCUACGCUAGAGAUCAUGAGAAGAACCCUUUCUUCUCUUUUCUUCCUAAAAUUCAUACACCAAAUCUCUACAAUAGAGAUGUAAAAAUUUUAUCCAACUUUUAGACAAAAGAAAGAGGAGACAACUAUAUCUAAAUAUGGAC